rnacentral:rRNA from 1 species
UACGUAGGGUGCAAGCGUUGUCCGGAAUUAUUGGGCGUAAAGAGCUCGUAGGUGGCCUGUCGCGUCGGCUGUGAAAACUCGGGGCUCAACUCCGAGCUUGCAGUCGAUACGGGCAGGCUAGAGUGCGGCAGGGGAGACUGGAAUUCCUGGUGUAGCGGUGAAAUGCGCAGAUAUCAGGAGGAACACCGGUGGCGAAGGCGGGUCUCUGGGCCGAUACUGACACUGAGGAGCGAAAGCGUGGGGAGCGAACAGG